AGCGAACGCUGGCGGCAGGCCUAACACAUGCAAGUCGAACGAACCUUUCGGGGUUAGUGGCGUACGGGUGAGUAACACGUGGGAACGUGCCUUUAGGUUCGGAAUAACUCAGGGAAACUUGUGCUAAUACCGAAUGUGCCCUUCGGGGGAAAGAUUAAUCGCCUUUAGAGCGGCCCGCGUCUGAUUAGCUAGUUGGUUGAGGUAAUGGCUCACCAAGGCGACGAUCAGUAGCUGGUCUGAGAGGAUGAUCAGCCACAUUGGGACUGAGACACGGCCCAAACUCCUACGGGAGGCAGCAGUGGGGAAUCUUGCGCAAUGGGCGAAAGCCUGACGCAGCCAUGCCGCGUGAAUGAUGAAGGUCUUAGGAUUGUAAAAUUCUUUCACCGGGGACGAUAAUGACGGGACCCGGAGAAGAAGCCCCGGCUAACUUCGUG
rnacentral:rRNA from 1 species